UACGGGGGAGCAAGCGUUGUUCGGAUUUACUGGGCGUAAAGGGCGCGUAGGCGGUCAGCACAAGUCAGUUGUGAAAUCUCCGGGCUUAACUCGGAAAGGUCAACUGAUACUGUGCGACUAGAGUGCAGAAGGGGCAACUGGAAUUCUCGGUGUAGCGGUGAAAUGCGUAGAUAUCGAGAGGAACACCUGCGGCGAAGCGGGUUGCUGGGCUGACACUGACGCUGAUGCGCGA
rnacentral:rRNA from 1 species